UACAGAGGGGGCAAGCGUUGUUCGGAAUUACUGGGCGUAAAGGGCGCGUAGGCGGCCCGCUAAGUCGAACGUGAAAUCCCCGGGCUCAACCCGGGAACUGCGUCCGAUACUGGUGGGCUUGAAUCCGGGAGAGGGAUGCGGAAUUCCAGGUGUAGCGGUGAAAUGCGUAGAUAUCUGGAGGAACACCGGUGGCGAAGGCGGCAUCCUGGACCGGUAUUGACGCUGAGGCGCGAAAGCCAGGGGAGCAAAGCGGGG
rnacentral:rRNA from 1 species